AUAACCUGGAGAGCUUGUUAAAAUGCAGUUUCUGAUUCAGUAGGUUGGGGUGGGAUUCUGCAUUUGUAACAAGCUCCCACGUGAUGCUGA
rnacentral:pre_miRNA from 1 species